AUAUAUACAGCCCCCUUCCAAUGAGGGAUCCCUAAUUUUUGCCAACUUGAGGGAUAGGCUCGCAGCCCUUGGAUCUGUUUUAAUGAGGCUCGACGGCUGAGAUUAUGUCAAACCAUUUAAAACCUUUCUGACCACGAUUAACCUAGAAUUCUCGAGUUCCCCAGUUCUCUCUCGCGAGUAUCAAUGCUUAGAGAACUCCCAAUUCGCAUCUCAAGCACCAUCUAUUUCUUCAAUUUCUCUGCACAUCAGCAAUUUUCAGGUUAUUCAUGAUAUGAAAGACGGAGGCAAGGAUUGAGAUGAAAAAGAAAAUGAUCGGAGUCGGGAAGAUGAAGCGGUACUCUAACGUCCUCGACAGGCCUCUCAGCAAAGGAAAACAAUAGGUAUGACAUCAAUGAAAGCAUAAAUGAGAUGGAGAAGCAAGCUUUGAUGACUGGUUUAGUAUUUCACCCUCAUAGGGAUCGUAAGAUCGGAUUAGGAAUCAAAGAUAUAAAGGCUAUGCUGUUGGGGCUCAGGUCUGGAGCUUUUUGGUGCAUGCAAAUUAGGUAGCUGACUCACUUGAGAAAGGCACUGAACAUGAGGACGGGUACAUGAUGUGAGAAGGAACUAAUGCAAGGUACUACGAAUGGAAGGUUGGGUUGAUGUUAAGGCCACGACUGGAUCGGGAUCUCAUAAUGCAGCAUGAAAGAAACAGAUACCAUUGCUUCUAGUUUUAUUUUUGGUAGCAACUCCAAAUUAUUUAAGGCCUUGUGGUUAGUUUGCAGAAUGUGGAAUAGUACUUCAAUCAUCCACAGUUUCUUAUGUAUUUAAUCUGCUGUUGGUGCAUGAGAUAAGAAAUGGCUUGCUAGUGAUAUUAUUACUA